CAGUUGCCCAAGGGCACGGGUUUGGGGACGUGGAACCGGGUCUGUCUGACUGUGCGACACUGGACCCCCACACUGGUUCCCAUUUCACAGGCUGGGCAAGCUGAGGUCACGUGCCUUGCCCUGGGCGAGCACGGUUAAUUCAGCAAAACCUCCAAGGCGAGAAGACUGGUUUUACCUGGCAAGGAUUCCAGGUGCAGAAGCUCCUUUCAUCAUCCAUAACCCUUUCCACACGGAUUUUCCAGGGACCCAGGGGCUGACCGGCUCCUGCACCAGCCCCAGCCCAGCCCCGUCUGCGAGGCUUGCUGAGGACGAGCAGGCCCCGCGGCCCUGUCUGCCAAAGUCCCGGCCACCAGGAAGGGCCUGGCAGCCCUGCCCUGCCCCGCGGGAGACGGCCUCCCAGCAGGUCGCCCAUAGCCUGAGAGGUGAGAGCGAGGGAAUCCAAGCCAGGCCCCCGCCCGCUCCAGCCCCGCCAGGUCUUGGCUUUAUGAGAGCACAGGGCUCAUAGAGGCUUCACAGACACAGGCCUGAGCUCACACUGUGUGAGGCUGGGCGAGCCGCUCACCUCCCUGUGCCUCAGUUUCCACACCCAGACCUUCUGAAGAGCUGGGAGGAGGAAGGGAGAUGGCAACAUCAACAGCCCAGCUUCAGCAGACUCUCCGGGGGCGGCUCAGAAACGCCAGCUCUGGACGUUUCUUCAGAACAUGGAGCUCAGACACAAUUGCAGCUCCAGGCUCACAUGCAGCAUGUGCAUUCUGGUACUGUCUGCUCACAAAGAAGACUGUCUCUGCCCACAUCCAUCAGACUGCCGGCCCUGCCAACAGUCCUCAGGUGCAGAGAGCCUUCAGGGCUGAGGAUUUCAGACUUGCUGCAAGCGAGGGACUGCGAUUAUCUCCCGUCGAUCCAUACUCCUACAGGACGUGUCCAUUGCAGUUGCCCGGCCUCUGUUCCACCACUGGAUGUUGCAUGUAUGCGGGGCGUGCACUUGUCUCUGUAGUUCAUAGGCCACCAGGUCGUGAGGAGCCACCUCUGCACCAGGUGCACAGGGUUCUGUGGCACUCGGAAGUCCUGGUCUUUACGCCGGAUGUGUAGACGGGCACUGGGGGUUGUUCCCCUCGGGGAGGGGGUGGCUGUCUUCUAUGUGCCGAAGGAAGAGUUUGAAAGCUAUUUGAUAACCAAAAAGGAGCUGGUUUAAGGGUUGGAUGUUUUAGCGACCAGUAUUGCCUAUACCGACUGAUACGCACGGUAAUAUUUAAAGAAGUGAUGUGUGAGCCUGGCAUGAGUGCAUCUGACAUCUGAGCCAAGACAAAAGGCUGGGCUAUUUGAUGACCAGAAAUGACCAGGAUGCAUGGGAAGAUGAUAAUUGCCAGCCCAGUUGUAGUCAGGUUGGGUCAUGUGACUGAAUUCUGGCCAGUCCUCUGCCUGGUCCUUAAAUAGUCCCGUGUAACCUUCCACUGUCUCUUUCUGUCUGGUCCAUGGGGCUGGAAGCAAAGGAGUCCACGGCAGUGGAGCCACACAGUAGAAGGAGCCAGAGCCUUGAGUCCCCGCUUGAAGAAGAGCCGUCCAGAGUGGAGAAGUUCAGAAGGUGCAUGUGCGUCUACGGUUUCAUACUGUUUCCCCAGAACCCUCACAGGCAGGAUGUUCAUUCUCUGCAAUGAGCACAUGAGGAAAAAGGAGCUCAGAGUCUCGAGGUAAGAAUACAGCUGGAAUCUCUGCUCUUCUACAGAUCGGGUUCCUCACCCCUGCCUCUACCCAGCGGCAACCAACCUCACACACAAAGUGUGAUCAUCAAAACUGUCUCCAGACAUUGGCAAAUGCCCCCGGAGAAAAGACCCACCCUGCACUGCUAUAUAGGUGGAUUAAUUCACAUGCCCAGGAAAGGGCUGGUCUCAAUUCCUAGUCUCCAACUCUUGGGGCGCAGUGUGGUUUAGAACCCAGAAUAGUGGGAGUUUUACAAAGGUAAAUGCAUGAUAUCCCAGCAGAGUCUGGGACAGCCUCCACCCCCGAGACAGGUCCAUUCCACCGAGGAACGGAUGCAUGUCUGCAGUAAGCAGGGUAAGCAAAGACGGCCACGGUCUCACGCCAGCGCCGGUCGGGCUUUGCUGCCAGGUUAAGUGUGCUACGAAACCACCAAAGAGCUGGCUUUGGGGGCUCUUGAGGAAGAGUCCACGGGCAAACUGCCACACACAGAGGCGGAGGGAUGUCCCCAAGGUCCCAUGACUGCUUCCAGGGACCAGGCUGUUUGGGGAGAGCCGGUCCACUUCCCAGGGCUCCACACUCGCCCCUCCUAACUGCCGAGGCCCCACGCCAGGGGAAGGAGGACGACACAGACUUGGGUCCUUGGCUCCAGCUGUGUCCCCCCUGCUCCCUCUGCCCCAGGCAGCUUCCCUCUGGACCCCCUGGGUCUCACUUUCCCCUUUUCAGGUCAUCUCAGUGUGUGACGAGUCUCCCCAGGUGGCUGAUUCACAAGAUGGUGAUCAGUGCAGUGGGAGACCCAGGGAUGUAAGAAACGUAAACGAAAGAGGAGAAAAAGACGCGAGCCCUCCCUCAGCCACAGCCUCAGCUGGAAGAACGGCUCCGGGAACUGUCCAGG